GGCGAGGCGGCCGAGCGGUCCAAGGCGCCACGUUAGGGAGUUAGCGAAUCCUUGAUCCGCAGCCCUCCCAGAGAGUCUCCGUGUUCUCGAAAGGGGCGUGAGUUCGAAUCUCACCCUUGUUA
rfam:Myceliophthora thermophila ATCC 42464 chromosome 4, complete sequence.